GAAAACAGUAUGAAAAUGUUCUAUUUCCGCCGUUCUGUCAAAAAAGGAUUUUAACUGUAGAAGAUGCUGGUGAUAGAAAACUAUCAGGAAUGCUUCAAGCUGGCAAUGGAGGGAAAUGUAAAAGACACUGAGAUAUCACAAGGUUUCAAAGAUCUAGAAUAUGCUCACAGUCAGUCUUCCAGAUACUCACCUUAAAGGUUCCAGUGUGUUUUAGGAGACUUUGUCAGAACAGUACUUUAUACCUACAUACACUGGAGAUACCAGACCAAGCAGAUAAUUACAGAU